rnacentral:lncRNA from 1 species
ACGAUUUCUUCUUUCUCGACGAGGACAAGAUCACGGCCCUGGAAGAUCUGCCACUGUUGACGAUCCAGGUGAGUGUCACCGGCUACACAGAAGAAAGAACAAGCUUGAGAAAACCAUUGCAAUUCUCAGGUAACUCACUUACUUGGCGACGAUGGCUACGCGAUUGGUAUGUUGAUCCAUCACACCUUGGCCGACGCUAUCGCCGGUAUGACGUUCCUCCUCAACUUUGCUUCCGUCAACCGAGGUGACGGUCUCUACAUGGCUCCAAAUGGCGACCGGACGCGACUAAGAGCCCGAGAUCCACCCCGAGUAGCCUUCCAGCACCGAGAGUUCGCCAAGCAGACCGAUCACGGCAGUAGUCGCUUCACUCUGACCCAAGAAUCGGUGCUGAGCUCCGAGUCGAGGAGGAGAAAGGCUCCCAAAAAGUCGAGACAGACCUUCGCCUUCACGAGUGCGAGGCUCCUCGAGCUCAAGCAGGCUGUUCUCGACGACGGGACUCU